ACGAACGCUGGCGGCGUGCUUAACACAUGCAAGUCGAACGGUGAUGCCCCUGCUUGCUGGCGUGGAUCAGUGGCGAACGGGUGAGUAACACGUGAGCAACCUGCCCCAGACUUUGCAAUAAGCGCUGGGAACGGCGACUAAUACUGGAUACGAAACUGGCCCGCAUGGGCAAGCAUUGGAACGUCUUUCGGUUUGCGAUGGGAUCGCGGCCUAUCGGCUUGUUGGUGUGGCAAUGGCACACCGAGCCGACGACGGGUAGCCGGCCUGAGAGGGCGAACGGCCACACUGCGACUGAGACACGGCCCAGACUCGUACGGGAGGCAGCAGUGGGGAAUAUUGCACAAUGGGCGCACGCCUGAUGCAGCGACGCUGCGUGAGGGAUGACGGCCUGCGGGGAGUAAACCUCUGUCGGCAGAGAAGAAGCGAUAGUGACGGUACCUGAAGAAGAAGCACCGGCUAACUACGUG
rnacentral:rRNA from 1 species